CAGGGGGGUGCCCUGCCAGCUGCCUGCGGGCCGGGAGGGGCAGCUGUUCCCUGAGACAGGCCUUUUCCUGCUUUUUCUCUCCCGUGUCUGUCCAGAAGUGUCCACCCGAGGCGGGGAGCAACCCUGCCGCGUGUGGGGCGCGGGGCUCCCCCGGCUGAGGGGUAGGGGCGGGACCCCAGGGUCUGUGCGCAGCCGCGGCUGCCUCCCUGUGCGGCGCCCGUGGCCACAAGCCCCUGUCAGGGCCGGUGUGUGUGUGACCCUGGGGGCUGGGCUGCCCGUGGCAGGAGGGCUUGACCAAGUCGACCAUCCUGCAGGUCCCGAGGCUUCAGAGGUGCCAGGUGGGCCCUGGAGGGAGAAGCCCCCAGACCAGGGGCCAUCGGCCGCUGGCAGGUGCAGCCUCCCGGUGGGCUGAGGGAAGGACGAGGGGUGCUCCUCAUCCUGGACCCCAAUUUCCCGUGGCCGAGGAGCCACUUUGUGGGCAUGAGAGGAUAUCCCCAGGGUCCUCCUGCAUUUGCGGUGUCCAUCCGAGGCUGGGGGGGGUGGGGUCUGGUGCUGAGGGUCUGUCCUCCUGCAGCUGUCCAUUGCCCCCAUGUCACCCUUGGUGUUGUCACCAUUUUCCCGCAGCGGCCUGUGAGGACAGUGGUUCCUAUUCCCAGGGCCGGGGGUGGGGGUGGUCCCUGCCUGGCAUCUUCCCCAUGAGGCUGCAGCCCUGGGGUCCGGCCCAGCUGGGAGCCUACCCUGGCCCUCCCUGGGCCCUGCCUCCUGUUCAGAACUGGACGGGUCCCCCCACGAGGCUGGUAUGGAUUUGUGACUCCAGGCAACCUUGCAACUGAGCUCCCCGAGUGUUUGCGGCCUCGGAGGCCCUCAGUCAGUGCACAACCUUGCACGCAGCCUGCAAGAGGGGCCCUGGGGACUCAGGGGGAGGGAGGCGGACAGCCCGUGUACUUGCACUGAUGCCCCCACCACAUGUCCCUGGAAGGGGGACAGGGCCCCAGAGGGCUGCGACCGGGCUCAGCCUCCCCAGCUCUGCUCACACUGGCUUCCCCCUGUUGGUUCCUGGGGCCACAGAGAUGCCAGCACGCUGGGGCCUUCGUGUGAUUUUGGCUCAAACUGUUGUACUCCCUUCCAUCCCGCUGCUCCUGGGCUUGGUGUGGUGCCCUACGCUCACCCUGGCGAGGCCCCUGUGUUGGCAGGGCCUGGCUCCCGGGGUUGCGGAGGGGGCUCAGAGCCUGCCCAUGCUGUCCUGCUGCAGAGGCCCUGUGUGCCCAGCAGCCCCUGCUCUGGGCCCCUCGGGCCAUCCCCGAGCGGGUGCAGCGCCUCCUCCUCCAGGCCUAUGUCUGUCGUCCGUCCGGUGGGGCUGCCCCAGAGCCCAAGACACCCGUCCGCAUCCACAGCCGGCAUCCCCGUGGGCCCCGUGUCGCUUCCGCCCAGUGUCUACCUCUUGCAGCUCCCGAGUGGCCUGUGUGCUCCCCGACGGCGGCGGCUGCUGGUGGGAGCAGCCGGAACACCCUGUGAAUUGCCCGGCAGGACUCACGCCUGCCUGGCUGCUGGAGGGACGUGGUACCCAGGGGCCACCAGCAACCCCAUGGGGGUGCCAGCGUGGCUGCUCCCACGGCAACUCCGCGACCCAUGCGCACUCCCUGCACCAGUGGUUUGUUCACUUUCAUCCGUCUACUUCCAUAGGAGAGAAACAAAGGGGGGGGGGGGUGCUGCUGCUGUUCCCUGCCCUGCCCCGUGACCCGGUGUGGCCAUGUCCUAGAGGCCCUGUCCUAUUCCCGUCCGCCGGCUCCCGGGCCCUGGAACCUGUCUUCCUGCCUGACCAAAGCUCCUUGUUCCCAUGUGGCAUGUUUGUUCUUCCCGACGUGGGGGGGGGGGCUGUUCCUGUGGGAGGGCCUGCCUGCUGCCUCCUCUGCACGCACCCUGGCGGGCGGGGUGGUGGUCAGGGUGCCUCCUCUGAGGAUUUGCACUCCCUUCGGCUCCACAUAACACAUUUAGGAAAAUAG
rnacentral:lncRNA from 1 species